CAGUAGCGUAUAUUAAUGCUGUUGCAGUUAAAAGGCUCGUAGUCGAAUAUGUGAAUUCCUGAACCUUGUCCGCUGUCGAGUACAGUGUCGUCUGGCGUUCGGAUUUCAUCUUUCGGAAGAUCAUUUCUGCCUUUGAUUAGGUCGGUUAUGCAAUUCCGAUCGUUUACUGUGAGUAAAUCAGUGUGUUCAAAGCAAGCAUAUCGCUUGAAUCUUCUAGCAUGGAAUAAUAAGAUAGGGCUUCGACUCUAUUUUGUUGGCUUCUAGGGUCCAAGUAAUGAUUGAAAGAGAUAGUUGGGGGUGCUAGUACUUAACGGUAAGCGGUGAAAUGCAUGGACCCGUUAAAGACUAACUCAUGCGAAAGCAUUCACCAAGGAUAUCUUCUUUGA
rnacentral:rRNA from 1 species